CCUACGGGAGGCAGCAGUGAGGAAUAUUGGUCAAUGGGCGCGAGCCUGAACCAGCCAAGUAGCGUGAAUGAUGACUGCCCUACGGGUUGUAAACUUCUUUUAUAAAGGAAUAAAGUGAGGCACGUGUGACUUCUUGUAUGUACUUUAUGAAUAAGGAUCGGCUAACUCCGUGCCAGCAGCCGCGGUAAUACGGAGGAUCCGAGCGUUAUCCGGAUUUAUUGGGUUUAAAGGGAGCGUAGAUGGGUUGUUAAGUCAGUUGUGAAAGUUUGCGGCUCAACCGUAAAAUUGCAAUUGAUACUGGCAGGCUAGAGUACAGUAGAGGGGGGCAGAAUUCGUGGUGUAGCGGUGAAAUGCGUAGAGAUCACGAAGAACUCCGAUUGCGAAGGCAGCUUACUAAACAGACACUGACAUUGAUGCUCGAAAGUGUGGGUAUCAAACAGGAUUAGAUACCCUAGUAGUC
rnacentral:rRNA from 1 species